rnacentral:rRNA from 1 species
UCCCAGCACCCCGAGUGGUUGGGACGAUUAUUGGGCCUAAAGCAUCCGUAGCCGGUCCUACAAGUCUUCCGUUAAAUCCACCUGCUUAACAGAUGGGCUGCGGAAGAUACUAUAGGGCUAGGAGGCGGGAGAGGCAAGCGGUACUCAGUGGGUAGGGGUAAAAUCCUCUGAUCCAUUGAAGACCACCAGUGGCGAAGGCGGCUUGCCAGAACGCGCUCGACGGUGAGGGAUGAAAGCUGGGGGAGCAAACCGG